rnacentral:lncRNA from 1 species
GGCGGAGCUUGCAGUGAGCUGAGAUCCGGCCACUGCACUCCAGCCUGGGCUACAGAGCGAGACUCCGUCUCAAAAAAAAAAAAAAAAAAAAAAAAGAAGCAGGAGUUACCCACAGGAAAGGUCUCUGACCUGGUCCCCUCAGGCCCAGCUACCUGCGCCCACCAGGAGUGAAGGUUAAUGUACUGGCCCAGCAUCUCCUCCUCCCCCACGCAACCAGGUCCCUGGUACCCGUGUCUCCCGUUGCAUGUCUGGCUUCUGCCUGUGCUCCUCCUGCCACGAGCAUCCUCUCUGUCCCUCCCCAUUCCACCCUGUCUCUCCUACACGCAUAGCCUCUGUCCCAGGGCCAUUUAUCCACUUAGUACAGGAGCUGCUCAGACCUCUCAGCCCAGCCGUCUGUGACUGCCCCAGCCUCUUCCCACCCCACCCAAAGCUGCCUUCCUGGCUGUGGGGGCUCCCUCAUCUGGUCAAGGCCCUAUGGGUCCCCAUCUGAGGAUCCACAAGUAAUGACUUCCCAAAUGCAAGAGGCAUCCUCACCACUGUUUCCAGAGCCGUGAACGAUGCUGUGAUGAGCCCAGGUCUCAGCACCACCCUCUGUGACCUAAAAAGAAAAGCUCAAUUUCCAUCUGUCAUCUUUCCCAGGACCAAGGGGACACAGUAAUGUGAAGUCAAAUACUUAACCGAGCGUAGGGCCAGUAUUAUCAAUCAAGGACAAACCUCCCACCUCACAGACAGCUGAGCAGUGAGGUAAAGACAGACACAGGUAGGAAGGUGCUCUGCAGGCACAAGGCCCAGAGGUGCUCCUCUCCGGGAACUUCCCCUGCUCCUUCCAGGAACAGUGAACCCAGUGAGCAGCCCCAGCCAACUCUUCAAGGCCAUCAAGGGGUCUUUCCGUAAAUGACUCACCUCCAGGAGCUCAGCUGACCCCCAGAGAAGACCCACCCCAGGCAGCUCAGUGCCCUGGCUUCUCCCCACGCCCCAAAUUCCCCUAGCCAUCCCUCCUGGUCCUCGUCUACAUCAAGGGCCUCUUCCCCUCUUCCUGCCAGCUCUCAGGACAGGUGACUGGGAGGACUUGACCCCUCAGCCUCUUCCGUUAAAAAACAAAACUGUGGGCCAUUUAUUUAGGAUUUUGGAGUUGUUUGGUUUUUGUUUGUUUGUAUAUUUUAAGAGUUUGAGAGUAAGAAGGGAGCCCUGCUAUGGAUGUUAAGUCCAAAUUACUUGGUUGGUGGGAGCAAAACCCAUGACUUACAAGGGGAUGAGGAGAACCUCAGAGGACAGGAAGAGCCUCCCACACUAAAGGAAAAAAAAAAUGGGUCAGGACAUUCCCUGGAUGAGGACAAUGCUAGGGGUGGCAUCUCGCAUGGCUGCUGCUAUUCCUGGUGCUUCCCCACACAUUUGACAGAUGGAGUCUUUCUCCUCCCUCCUCCCGCCACCUCACCCUACAGGCAUUCUCUGUAUAGGAAACAAGAGCCUUGUUUUAUAGAACGGGGGACUGAGACACAGCCCCAGGUAACACUGACACAGCUCUCGAGAGAGGCUGGGACACUCUGCAAACCUCUCCUCAUGGUGCUGAGGGUGGCAUGCUCUCGACAGGAAACCUAAAUGACCACUCCUCUCAUUUGGAAGGUAAUCCACUGUAGUAAAAGUUUCAGACAUGCAAGAGAGAGGUUUUUUAAUACUAUAAAUUUUUGCUCCCCCAUAAAAUUAUUUUUUUAUUAGAGGGAGUAUCCAAGUUGUAAAAAUACAUAGAAUUUUUGGGUUGUAAAAGAAAUACAUACUCAUUAGGAUCCCAAUUAAAUUCCUUGAGUAGACUGGUGACUACCAGAAAGCAAAGCAAAGCAAAGUUAAACAAAACGAAACAAAAUCCUUCAUAUACAAAAAGAACUUUCUGUUUGUAUUGGCAGAGGUAGUGAGGUAGGCUGAAAAUCCUGGGUUGGGGGAACCUCACCCCCUUUGAUGUCUAUGCUUGGCUCUCUGGGCUGCCCCUGGUACUGCUGAAUCCUAUACAUCUCUUAUUAGCUUUCCUCAGACUUUAGGGAGGCUGUGUUAGGGAUGGGUCAUGGGAAGACCCAAGUUUUCCCUCUGCCAGGAUUGCAAAAGUAAGUAGACUUGGUCUAUGCAGCUCAUCUUCCACCAAUUUCUUUAUGUGGAAUUAGAACUUCCUUUGUUAGUAUCUUUGAUCUUUUGACUCAAGCACAUUUUGGAAGGGCUCCCUUACAAGAGUAGAAUUUAAAACAGAGGAUACAGUUAAAGAGCAACCCAAAGGGCACUUAAGAAACUGAGACCACUUCACCAAACAGGACUAAGGAAUGCUUUCGUGCACAGAGGUCAGUCGCCAUCCAGGCACAGGAUGAAGAUGGGAUACACCUGCUCAUCUUCUCGCCUCCUUCCCUCUCCCUCCCCAACGUUCUCGUUAGCUUGUUGGCUUGCUAGACCUUCUGUUCUUUAAAAUGAAAAGCUAGCUUACCUCAAAUAAUCUUGUUUCCAUUUGGAAACCAAUGAUUUUGUGUUUUAGAACAGACGGCCCUCCCCUCACCACUCCCUACCUUGGCCUGGUGUCCUUGAGACAUGCCGUCUUUGCUUAGUCGUGUGUUGGCUGCUUUGAGCAGGAACAAGGCCCCCAGGCCCCGAGGUGGGAAGGAAGGAUUGGAUGCUGCUGCCCUCCUCCCCACUUUAGCAUGUAGGGGCCAGUCCACCUCUUCCAGCAGGGUCCUGCCGAGUUACCGUAGCAACUAGCAACUCCAGGGUACCGCAACAGACAAUGGCUCAGUGAGCCGACAUGUGGGGGUGAUGCAGGGGUUUUAGCCUGGCCAGAUGACCCAGAGUUGAGCUUCAAAUGCUAGAGGAGAAGGGAAGAAACAGGAUGGAUGGGUGAUUUAAGGAACCGGCAGGAGUCUGUGUCACAUAGAGAAGCCGCUGAAGGAGUUAGAGCAGGUUAUCUCUGUUCCAGUCACCCCCUUCCAGUCCCAUCCCACUUCUGUUUCAAACUAAAGCUCCCACCUCGAACGCUGGCCCUUUGUUAGAACAAAGCAAAACAUAUCUUUAGACAACAGUGUUAAAAUGAGCCUCAAAUAUAUGUGGAUGAGAUCUCUAAGAAGAGGGUCUUCUGGUUUUGAUUUUUAAAGAAGAGUAUCCUAGUAAGAUAUUAAAAAAAAGAUUUAAAAAAAGUUUUUAAAAAGGAAACCUAUGCUAUUUAAAUUGGAGCCCAGUUGUAACUUGGUAAAGGCAAGCUUCUGUACCUUUGUUAUAAUUAAUUGUAUACCUGUGUAUGUAAAUAUAAGGCAUUCCUAUUUUGCAGUUCAGAACAAAAAAAAAACUUAUUUGUAAUAUAGAAUAAAGUUUAUUAAAAAAUAAUAAAAAUGCAGUUUG